GUCCUCCUCUUGACCCCCCACUAACCGACUCGUCUCAGCUUUUCUACCAGUAGUUCGUAGUGUUUUCCCAGACAAACUUCGCAGGUCACCAGUGGAAGUCUCUGGGGUUUUCUGAGAUCAGCACCAUCAGUCAUGUGCAGGGGGGGCAUUCUCUGGCUUCGGUGCCGCCUUCCAGUGACCAUACAAGGUAACAGAAGAAUGCUGGCUCGAAAGUCCAUCUGCUUCAUAAAGACAACACAAGGAUGCCAGAGGGGUCCCACACUGAUGGUGAUCACUGUUUUCGGGGAGUGUUCAAAGAAACAGACCAGACCAAGACUUGCCGAGUGACCAUGAUGUGACAUCUUCCAACAAGUACUCACUGCUCAUCCACUCACAGACGGAUGUUGGAAGGCGAUUUCCCAAGAGGUGUUGCAGAGGAGAUGAGGUGACGUCGCUUCAUUGAUGCUCUUCACUCUGACUUGGGUACAUCUUCUAAUGCAGUGCAAUCGUCUUCAACCAACGCUUUCCCUGUUUGCCCGCUUUGCUUUGACACUGACAGAGAAGUAUUCGUUUAGUUUAGCAGGUGUUAAUUUUCAUAUCUUUUGACCCAAAAAAACAUUUCUGUAAAACAAAAAAACCCAACUAUUUUUCAAUUAUUUUUUAUUGUUUUAUGCAGCCUUGUUUUUAUAUGGGUAAAUCCUUCCCAUGCAGAAACAGCCACAUUUGAAGGCCUAUUUUGAAAAACGUAUUGAUGAUUUAACAUUUCAAGCAUUUAUAGUAAAGCCGAUCCUCAUUGACAGAGCAAAUGGCGGUGGCCUAUUAUGACACAUUUCUCACAGGAAAGACAUGCAAUAGUUCCGAUACUUUCACAAAUGUACACAGAGCUCAGAAAUCAAAUCAUUCAUUCGGCGGUCUGCUCUUGUGGCGCUCAUUGAAAGGAUUAAGAUGAUUAAGCAGUAGGAAUAAAAUCUUAUGCUCUGUAUACAAAUAUGUUAUUUGUAUCUUCAGAUAAUGUUGCAAAUCAUCAAACUACUGUAAUUGGAAAAACAUUUUGCCAUUAAAAGUGUGAAAAAUAUUAAGUUAGAAUAUAUUUCCCAUUAUGAACAAUUAUUGUCGUGUGAAUGAUUGAAAACUGGCAACUCAUUCAAAUAGUUACAUGAGUAAAACUGAUUCCUUUCUGUUAUCGUCAUGUGAAAAUGAAGCUCAAAUUUAGCAUUCCGGUUGUAAAAUACGGUGGUGUAGAACUUCCCAGCAUCAUGCUGAGAACUGUUUCUCAAAUGUUAUUGCUUCACUAUUGAUUGACAUCAAAGAGGUAAAAUAUCAGAAGCAGCUCUCCGUAUAAUGCUUUGUACUGCUACACCACUCGAAACUACAAUCAAAAUAAACUGUGAAAUUAAUACUAGCUGACAUUCAAUCAAAUGUGAGCAUUGAUAUUAUUAUUCCAUCCAUCCAUUUUCUUUGCCACUUAUCCUCACAAGGGUCGCGGGGAGUGCUGGAGCCUAUCCCAGCUGUGAACGGGGAGGAGGCGGUGUACACCCAGACCUGGUUGCCAGCCAAUCGCAGGGCACAUCGAGACAAACAGCCGCACUCACAAUCACACCUAGGGGCAAUUUAGAGUGUCCAAUUAAUGUUGCAUGUUUUUGGAAUGUGGGAGGAAACUGGAGUGCCCGGAGGAAACCCACACAGGCACGGGGAGAACAUGCAAACUCAACACAGGCGGGUCCGCGAUUGAACCCAGGACCUCAGAGCUGUGAGGCCAACGCUUUAACAGAUUAUCCACCAUUCCGCCUGAUAUUAUUAUUACUUUUUUUUUGUAGCACACACACACUUACUCUUACCCUCACUAUAUUUUUGGAAGAUGUCAAAAUAUCCUCCAACAUUUGAGUAAGACCAUCUGAAAAGUUGUGUAUGUGUGUGUAACAUGAGAGGGAACAGCACAGGAAGUUUGAAUGAUGUCCACUGAGAGUUCAAGUCAUUUCCUGUUUACCGUUCCCAUGUAAUAGUCUGUUUGCACCCCUGCCCCCACAUCCAAAGUGAUCCCUCCCUACGGCCCACGGUGCAGUGCUGCAUCUCUGGUCAGUUGAUAGUCUGAGAUGAAGCACUGUAGCUCGGGACGGAGGUCCGCUUCAGAGAGCGACAUUUAGAAAGUUUACAGGUGCAUCACAACUAUAGUUCACGUUUAGAAUUAAUCUCCUGGAAAAAAAUAAACUUGUCAUUGAUCGUCAUAUUUACUGAUAUUGUAUAUCUAUGUAUUACUAUAUUUUUAAAUCAAUAUAAAUUUGAUUUACUGCCUAAUUUGUCCCUUGCCAUUUAUUCCAUACAAAGAAAGCAGUCUGGAAUUUUCUGUUUUGCUCCUCUCUCCUGGGGUCCAGUUUUCCCAGGAAUCCCUUGACUCGUCUAAAAGGGGAUUCCUGGAAAUACUGUUCUUAGGGGCAAGGCCAAGCGACAAUUUGCGUGAGAGCCGGAAGCUUAUGAAAUAUGAGUGUCAAAAUCAAAUGGUGGUGAGUUCAUGUGUUCAAUGCACAGUAUGAGUAUACACACAUAUGCAUAAAUAGUGGCAGCGUGCAACUGGAGGGUCGCCCGAGUGCAUGUUUUCAUUGUGUCCCUGGGUUAGACAGCCAACCCACAAUGUGAUCGGACUUUUGGUGGAGGUCGGAGGGGCCGUAAGCGCAGAAUGGCAGUCACGCUUGCAUCAGACUGCACCAGGGGACUGUGGCGAUACAAGUAGGCUACCACUACUAGAGUGUUACUGUGGAGUGAGAACCUCUUUGAGUGCCUAGAAAAGUGUAUGUGUGAUUAUAGUUGAUGUUUUAUUUUUUAUUUUUAUUUUUUAGAAAAGGUUGUGAGAACGCACGAUAAUAAACCACACCAUGAUAAACCUCA